rnacentral:piRNA from 1 species
UGUUUACAAUGUCUUGUCCAC